UAGCUGUGCAUAUGAAUAGUACUGUAUAAAUUUCUUCUUCAUGCUUCCAGCAUCCCUUGAAUUCAUAGUGGAGUGCAACUGCAAUAGGAGGAAGGGUGGUACAUCUGAGUUUCUGGAUAUUCACUAUGAUAGAUAAUACAGGCAUGAUUUACUGAUUUAUUGGCAGCAGUUUAGAGAGGGGACUUCUGCUUCCCAUCUGCUUCUUCUGUCAAGAAUCAGUGGACACUUUUUUUGGUUCAGAAGGAUUCUUAAAAUACUGUAGGGCACAAGACAAAUGCAACCAGAUUGCCAUCUGUAACAUGCCAGCAGUGGGGCACUUCCUACUUCAGGUCCCUUACAGAACCUUGUUUCAACUGGGUGUAUCGCAAAACACAGACCAGAGGGAGUCCCCUUGUUCUUGAAGACAAACAGAGAUCCAAGCCCUCAUGAAGAUAAUGGGAUUUAAGUCAUUGUGUGACUUAAGCUCUGAAAGAGCAGCUCCUGUGCUAAGCUUACAUGAGAGAAGAUGUGAGGGUGUGUGAAUGCCAGAUAAGUCUGAAUGAAAACCACACUAGUGUUCAACAUCUUAGCAGUGACCUUUUGUAUAUUCUACUGCUGCAUUUGCCUGACUUUAGUAGUUUGUGAAGUGAGGAUUAAGUCCUUAAUUUUUCCUGCAGAAGUUAGCAAGAUUGAGUGCAGUCAAAGGCAAUACACUUCAGGGUGGAACACAGGGGUUUCUGUGUUCUCCUUCUCCAACUCACUCUCUUGUUUCUCACAUUUCCACUUCUCUGAUGAGCCCCUGUGCUGCACUGGGACCUCAUGCAUCAACUAGGCUGUGCUCCACUGCUCAUGUUAAAAGUGUGAAGUUCCGGAGCAGGACAGAAACUGUAAUACAAAACUGCAAGUUCUAAUGCUAACAAAUAGUGCUGGUAUUGACUUCUGAGCUCUCUUUUGUCUGUAAUCCUUGAAACAUUUAACUCAUGAGGUCUUUCAUUUUGCAGUCAGAUGCAUCCAAAUUACAAAGACUGGAGAAUCUGACCAGAGACAUGAGAUCUCAAGACCACUGUAGCAUGUGUUAGAUGUUGGGAGGCCACUUACUUUCAUUCUCAGAUAACUUCCACCUGUGUUGCAUAUAAUUCUGGGCCCCACAAAUUAAAAAUAGUUUUAAAAGCAUUGAAUACAUCCAGAGGAGGGCAAAAACGUUGGUGAAAGGGCUGGAAUGAAUGUCUUCUGAGCAGUGGCUAAGGACCUGGGUUUUCUCUUUUGGAGAAAAGGAGGCAGAGGGGUCACCUCGUUGCUCUCUACAGCUUUUUGAAGAGAGGAAGUGGGGAGGGAGGUGCUGAUCCCUUCUUCUUGGGAUCCAGUGAUAGGAGGCAGGAACCUGGGGUAGGCGGCAUACAUUUUUCACAAGGAAUAGUAUUUAAAGUGUUUCUUUCCCCUAAUGUAAACUGGUGGCAAAGACAUUUUCUUUGAGAAAUUUGUUUGAGUUGCAAGAUACCUUCCAAGGAAGCAAAUGGUUGCUGUUGAGAGGAUACCAGAGAAACAACUACAGUGAUGGUCAGCUGAUGUAUUGUAUCCAUGAUCCAAACCAGGAGAUGAAAAACUGACCCGGUGUAUUUUCCCUUUUCUUUUCUGGAGAAAGCUUCCUUUUAUAUUUGCUUGCCUCUGUUUGGCCUGUUGCUGUUGGAAUCACACAAAGCUUUCCCUCCUGUCUGCUAGGAUUUUUCUUAUGUUUGUCUUACUUGCAAGCAGGCACUGUGAGCAGUGUGCUUAUUGAAGUAUCCUUGGAGGAAAUGUGCAACCUUCAGCUGGUUGUAGAGGGGGGCCACAAAGAGCUUAACUAAGAUUUGUGCUGCAGUCUAUCUGCUUGUCAAAAGCCCGCUUGGAGUGGAGUGACAUGGAUAACCAGGAAGUUUCCUCUCCUGGAGAGGGAGAAAUAACCAAAUUUCACAUAUGUUUAGUAGUCUGUCUAGAAUUUAUACAUGGCAGAAAAAAGGAUUCUUCUUCUUUGUUUUUCUGUCCACUUGAAGGAAGGUCUGCAUGCUUUUGAUUUUAAUAUCUGUUGCUGUAUACCUUCAUCUUUCUGACUUUUCUCUUUCUUUACCUUCCAUAAUAGAAGCAAAGUGGUGGUUUCUUGUCAGCUGUAGGGUUUUGGCGCAAAUAGGAUUUGUCAGUGCUGAAAUUUUAGCCUGUGUUGCAUAGGAAAUACUGUCUGCAGCAGUGGAUUUGGAUCUGGGCAGGAGCCUAAUGGAUGAUGUAUUACAGUUACUGAGAUCUUCCUGGUGAAAUGGGAUGCUCCAAAUAUAACCUACUGGCUUGCAUUUGUGUUGGUUCUUAAGGAGAGGGAAGUUCAGGAUGUAGUUCAGCUGUUAGCUGUGGAGAUCUACUUACUUGCUCAUGUGCUGGCAAAAGCACAGACAUAAGAGAAUACUAAUGUCUAUGAAGGCUGAUGUACAUGGAAGGGCUUUCUUCUCUGACUAGAAGGGUAAGGUUUGAAUUCAUAUAGCUGUGAAAUGAAAUCUAUGAAGGCUGCCUGGGUGUAGAAGUCUUGCUGAGUGAAGUCAAGACUGUAUGGUCUGUAUUUGUCAGCACUGCAGUAAGUGCAGGGCUCCAAAAUCUCUGAAUAACCUCUGCAGACACUCCACUAAGGGAAGACAGGCAUCCUGCCAUUACAGGAAUGAGAAUGUCUCUUUCAUGCUGGGACACCCCCCAAAGGCAACAGCAAAAAAAUCCACCCUCAAAACAAGAUGGUCUCACAGGAAAUUUCAUGUGGCAAUUGAAUGGAGAUGAGAAGUCCUCCAGCAGUGUUUGAAAUCUGCCAAAUUGCUGAGGAAGCCUGGAAGAGGAGUGGUAAUAAACAGGGGAGGCUGGCAGAAAGAAAGGGACAGGUCUGUAGUGUUUUGCCACUGGCUUGUCUCAUAUCAGAGGGCUGCAUGCAAAAGGCAUGUUCUUCUGUUUCAUGGCCAAGGUCCCUUCUCUGAACUUUAUGUGAUAGUGUUCAGACAACAGAGAGAAUAGACAUUGAUGCUGAGAGUCAGACACAAAUACAGGCUCUAGUGUUACCUGGGGUGAGAAUUCAUAGUUUUUCAGGCCAUUGGAGAGAGGAUAUGGUUCAUGAAGUGGUAACUGGCUAGCCCAUCAAAGCUGCAGAGUUUCUAUGCCCACUUCCAAUGGCUGUAAAGACCCUCAGCAGCAUCCUGAAUGCUCUUCCAGAUUAUGUGUCUCUUGUCUAUGCUUCUCUUUCAGUGGUGGGGCAGAAAGUACUCUGCCUUAGCAUUGGAUGGUCUUCUUUGAGCAAUCAAGUAAAGAAGACAUCUUGCAAGCAUGAAAGACUACCUGAGACUAAGACAUCAUGUCCAAACCAAUGUAUUUUUUAAUCUCUGGCAGUUAUUUACUUUAUGUUGAAGUUAAGUUUAUGCAUGCGACUCUUCCUUGAGUCUGAGUGAAGUGUUUUGCUCUUUGUGAAUUAGAUUUCUCUUUGUAGUUUCCUUCAGAUUUUUUAAAUCCAGAUUUAAAAAGAAUCCUGAACAGAAUACAAGUAAGUAAAAAAAUUGAAGAGAAGGAGAAAGUACUCAGCGAUUUUGCCUAUAUAUGUGUAUAGUUCCUCCUCUAUACAGUUGUAGCUGGAAUAAAAGUGAUUGGAAUGAUAUUUAGAAAAAAUCUUAAUUUCAUUAGAAACAGAUGAGUAUUUUUAAAUUUUGAUUUGUGUUUUUGUUUGUUUGUUUGAAUUCAGUGUAUUUAAAAACUUUUCUUGACAAGUGCAUCUUUCACUUCUGUAUUUUCCUUUAAAUAUCAGAGGUUUCUGUUCCACGUCACCCAGGCUGCAAAAAGACAAGAUUAAAAGGUGCAUGAAAGGAAAUUUAUAAUUACAUGGAGAUAGAUUAAAAUGCUGAGGAAAAAGGUUAAGCAGGGACACCGCUACUCCUCUAAAUACAUGAGAGAGGUGAACACUGCAGUGAAGGAAGAACUACUUAAUGUGAGGGACAAUAUUGGUAAAAGGAUAAUGUGAAUAAAUUGGCCAUGAGCAUCCUUGA